CUUGUCGUGUCGCGGAAGCAGCGCCAUUGCUGGAUGAUGGCGCGCGCGAAUAGGCACCGCGGUUCGAGGUUAGGUCGUUGCUAAAUCAGUCUGGGUUGAUAUCAUUGAUUGCGCGAUUUUGGAAGGGAUUUUAGGUUGGACAAAGUCACCAUGGCCGGAAGCCGAUGAGCAGUAGCGAAUUCAGGGUAGGACUAAUGGAGGAGUGUGUGGUUCAAUCCAUAAUUAUGAGUGCCUUGCAGUGAACACACUUUUCUGAGGAAGAAUGAAAGAUAGAAUGAAUGACAAAUAUUAUAUUUGGGAAAAUAAUUUCACGGACAAACAAUAUAGUUAUAUUCUUGAGCAAAAUAAAGUUUGCUUUCUUAUAUUUACUUUGAAAGCAUUGUUUCUAUUACAAGUAGCUUAAAGAAUAUAUUUAUAUACUAUACGAUAGUUCAUUUGUUUGUUUUAACGUAAUGUAUUUAAUUUAGACUUGACAAAUCAUUAGUGAUGUUACAUCAUUGAUCUAUCUAGUGUAAAUGGUGUAUCAACGUCACAAAUGACACAUUUUGUAAAUUUACGUAUCAUUAUAUUUAUAUAGAGUAUAAUAUGUACGGUGAGUAUAAUAUGUAGAGAAUAAUAUGUACGGUGUAAAGUAAUUCAUCAUACUUUUCACCACGUCUAUAACAAUCUCCAUGCGUAUUGUCGAAUGUGUGUUUGCAUAAAAUGAAGAAUAUGGUUGCUGUAGUAACUGACGGAAGCACUGAAUUUAUCGUGUGACCGCUGUAUAUGCAUUUCGUGUGUACCCAUCACAUGUUUAUCCUCUUUUUCCACCAUACCAAGAGUAGCUGUUCCGAAAUAUCGAUCGAUGUUACUCAGCGUUCGUUACGCCGAAUAAUAAAUGCGAAUUAUAAUGUAUUUACGAACGAAAGCAAAAGUUAUUCUAUGAAAUAACAAUUGGAUGAAUAUAUUACCCGAUAUUGAUAGAUGCCAUGACUACGCGAGAAGGGCGAGUAGCUAUUAAUAGAAACUUUUAACGCGAUGAAAUUUAUGUCUCAUAACUUAAUUUUGCCUGUCAGGCGUCUUCAUCGUUCGUUUUAUCUACGUUCCUCGUUCAUUCUGUUUUCGACUUUGUUCGCUUAUCUUUAGGUACCAAUAUUUUUGAAAUCUAUGAAAAUACAUAAAAUGUUUGUAGAUUCUAAGCGUUAACAAUUAAAGUAGCUAAGUGCAAGAAUUUAGAUAAAUUAAUUUUGUGGGGACACCUUGGGGGAUUAGUAACCAACUAUUCUUGUUAAUGUAUUUGUUGCAACGAAGGCAAGCAAAGGUCUUUACUUGACAAAUUACCAACGAUAGUUAUGUAAAAUACUAACAGAAGAUGAAACCUAUUUUGUAGAUUUUGUGAAUUUAUCGACUAUUGAAAAUUUAAUUUUAGUAUUGAACCAUCAAAUAAGUCGGAAAACAAAAUGAACACGACGAACGAAAAGAGGACUUUGCAGACUGAAUUUAGUUGAGAUUUUAUAAACUUACCAGUCAAACAAUUAACACGUGAAAUUUGUAUUGUAUUUGUAUUAAUAAGAUUUCCUAUAAAUUUACUUGUAUUCGUUAUUGGAAGCAUAAUUGGCAAACAAGGACGCAAUUUUCUUCCAUUUUUACUGCAAUUCUGCGUUCAUCGAUGAGUAUAGAGAUUGCGAGACGGCCACGAACACGAGAUCGUGUGCAUUUGGAGGAAUAGGUGCGGCAAGUAUCGCUUCGCGUUAAUUUUUGGUGGUUUUACAGGUAGUUGCAUCAGCGUAACCAGUGGAUGAUCGAUCGGCUGGAAAUCUCCGCAACGUUAUCGGUGGAAUUAACCCUUGAGGUAGUCUGUGUCUCGCGGGCCCUUCAGUCACUUGAAAUUAUCGCCGAGCACGAUAGCUAAAUCAACGUCCUAGAUUACAUCGCGCCCUUCCUGCACGAAUCACCGUACCGCGCAUGCGCGCACGCUAUUCGUCCGACUGUCUCAUGGCUGACCACUGCCGGUGAAGAACUACUUUUGGUUUUCCCCUGUCUGGAGCACGUUUCGCGUUGCAUUCACGCCAGGCUGACGUAGCCUUCAGUGGCCCCCGACCCACGAAAAAGUUAUAUCCCCGGUGUGACCGCCAGCCCACAAAUUUAUUUCCCAACGAAAUAUCCUCCGUUAACGCGAGAACUCUCACGGUAAGCUGUAAUAAUUUAAUCCUGACCGGCCUGUUAAUAAACAAAUGCGAUCGAUCGAUCGUUAUUAACUUCGCGCCGUUCCUGUUUGCCAUCGGAACAGGACACGUGGCUUCCAAUAUCGUUUCAUCCUAGUUUCCUCGCCUUUCGAAGACCGGUAGGGCUGAGGUUAUGCGAACAAUUUUAUUAUGAUCGAGUGACUGUAGAGUUGCGAAUUAAAUGUUGGUUUAUUUAAUGAUAAACGUAACAAAAAUAAAUCUAGAGCUGAGGAACACUGCGUUUCUCAAAAGGGAAAGUUUCGUUUCUGCUGCCUUCGUAGUUGGGCCUCUGACAGUAUUUGUGUUCAAGAGGGCAGUGUGAAAAACGUGUGGCAGGCCCAAGCCGUAUUUUUCUUUUACGGCGUAGGGGCCGGUUUUCCUAUGUGCUUUGGAAAAAGACCUCUCUCUUAGUUUGAAUCUUGAAGCGAAAAGACGUCCUUCCGUGUCCUAACAAUAAAGGAUAUAAUAUAAAGAUUUAAAGACUGUGAAUUUCCUCUCUUUACGAAUCGUAUAAUCCAAUAUUAAAUGUAAUCGGUAUGGUUUAUUGAAAGCGUGAUUAACCCUUUGCACUCGAGGACUUUUUUUCUGGUAUCUACUACAGCAACUGGAGAUGUUUCUUAGCAUU